UUCCUCUCCCCGAGCCUCCCGCUGCCCGGUUUUCCGGCCGUCCUCCCCGCCGCCGUCCGGCCACCAACCGCCGCCGCACCGGUCCCGUUCGGUCGACCUCCAACCCAGCAACCUCCCUGGACCGGUGAGAGGAGCCCUAGCUCCGCCGUGAGAGAGCGGUGCCACCCGAAAGGUCCGACUGUCCAAAGCUUCACUUCGCCGGAACUUCCUCCUCCGGCCACCAAUCCGGGCAAGCUUGGUACGGUUUUGUAGCCCUCCUCCCGUGCAACAACCCCUCCAAGCAGCUCCCUCCCUCUUGAGCUAGGUAAGGAGAAAUUUGAGGUGGAAGUUUUAUGGUGUUUAAGUUGUUUUCGUUCGAUUAGCCUAGUUAGGCUUGGAAUUGGUGUUUGUGCUAGUUAUGAAAGUUGUAGAGCUUGAUGAGAGGAAGAUGCUGUUAAAAUUUCAUAGAUUUUGGAGGUCGCCGGAAUUGACCUCCGGCCGCUGCUGCCGGCGGAACCGCCGGCGGCGCCGCCGCCGGUUAGGAGAUUUUUAUGGUUUUUGAUAUAGAAUAUUAAGGGGAUAUUAUUGAAGUGAAUUAUGGAAUUUUUGGAUGAGAUUUGGAUAGGUUUGUGAAUUUCCGAAGUUUGGUAUUUUUGGCGGUUAAUUAAUGUAGAAUCCGGCCGUAGGAUUUAAGUCGUAUUUUGGGGAGGUUGUAUUUACGACUGUUGAGUAUGAUAUUUAAGUUCGGAUUGUUCCGAUGUAAGAAUAUCGAAGUUAGGCAAUGAUGAGCGUAAUAAUGGCUCUCGGGUAAUUUUGCCUAUUUUGAUUAAAUAUUGGAUAUUGGUUGGGAAUUAAUAUUAUAUUUGAAACAGGACGUGAGGAGGCUCGAGCAGACGAGACCCCAGAUCGACAUCAGGCUUAGGCCUAAUUUGUGAGUGGACUUUUAUUUGAAAUAAUAUGCAUGCUAUGGUUCAUGAUUGAACAUUUCCUUUUGUUUGGAGUUUUU
rnacentral:lncRNA from 1 species